rnacentral:rRNA from 1 species
AGACGGGCCCCGCACAAGCAGCGGAGCGUGUGGUUUAAUUCGAUGCUACACGAAGAACCUUUACCAGGGUUUGACAUGCAAGUGGUAGGAACCGAAAGGCGACCGACCCUUCGGGGAGCUUGCACAGGUGCUGCAUGGCUGUCGUCAGCUCGUGUCGUGAGAUGUUCGGUUAAGUCCGCUAACGAGCGCAACCCUCGUCGUAUGUUAUAUGUGUCAUACGAGACUGCCGGUAAAAGCCGGAGGAAGGUGAGGAUGAUGUCAAGUCAGCAUGACCUUUAUAUCCAGGGCUACACACACGCUACAAUGGUCUGUACAAUGGGUAGCCAAGCCGCGAGGCGGAGCCAAUCCUGAAAGCAGGCCUCAGUUCAGAUUGCAGUCUGCAACUCGACUGCAUGAAGCCGGAGUUGCUAGUAACCGCAGGUCAGCAAUACUGCGGUGAAUACGUUCCCGGGUCUU